AGGAAUACCCCCAAAUCUGCCAGGAAUACCCCAAAAUCUGGCAGGAAUACCCCAAAAUCUGGCAGGAAUACUCCAAAAUCUGCCGGGGGCACCCCAAAUUCUGCUGGGGGCACUGUAAAAUCUGCCAGGGACACCCAAAACCUGCCAUGGAGCUGCUGUGGAUGCACCUGGAUGAUCCCAGAGUGGAGCCCGGAGAGAGCAGCGUUUCCUGGGGGUGCCUUAAAAUCCACCUGGAACCCCAAAAUCUGUUGGGAGCAGCUCAGAAUCCACCUGGAGCACCCCAAAAUCCAUUUGAGGUGCUUCAAAAUGCACCAGGAGCACCUCAAAAAUCUGUUGGGAGCAGCUCAGAAUCCACCUGGAGCACCCCAAAAUCCAUUUGAGGUGCUUCAAAAUGCACCAGGAGCACCUCAAAAAUCUGUUGGGAGCAGCUCAGAAUUUAUAGAAGGAGUUUGGAAUCCACCUGGGUGCCUCAAAAUUCACCUGGAGCAGCUCAGAAUCCACAGGGGAUUCACCUUGGCACCUCCAAAUCCACCUGGAGCGCCCCAAAACCUCCCUGGAAUCUGCUGUGGACAGCCCCGAAUCCCUCUGGAGCCCCCCAAAAAUCUGUUGGGGGUACCCGAGGAUUCACUGGGAUUCUGAACUCCACCUGGGCCACCCCAAAAAU
rnacentral:lncRNA from 12 species